rnacentral:lncRNA from 1 species
AUUGUAACACCUCCUUCAUCAUCCAAGUUAUCAGAACCUUUACUCUACCAACUUCCCUCUUAUCAGUGACUUCUUCAUCAUCGUUGGCUUCACGCCUCUUCAUUGUUAACAGUCCCUUUGCAUCUUCGGGAUCACUAUUACUCAACGUUGUUUUCUUCAACCACGGUAGCCAUCAGCACGGAAAGAGCAACACCCGAUAAAACCCCGACCAAAACCUAGAAAUUUCCAAACAGAAGCCCCCACAAAGGGGAAACCUUACAAAAACACAAAUUUCAACAAAUACUAAAGGCCAAAACCCAAAAGUGGUAAAAUAAGUAAUCAAAUUCGGAAUUUUGCCCUCAAUAAUUGAAACCCGAGAUGAGAAGUUUCUUUAGUGAAAUCUGAAAAGCCCAAAAGUUGAGAGAUUAUGAGAAGAGAUAAAUGGCAAGGGCAAGUGUGAAUUUUGAAUCUAAGAAAGUUAAAGCGGAAAAAAUAGUGAAUUUUGAGGGAUUGGGCUGCAUGGUGUUUUAAAAAAAUGUAGAAGGAUUUGAGUGUGAGAAAAAAAAAUUGUAAAGAGAAGAUAGGAGUUAAGAACUUAAAAUAGGUGGCACUGUUGCGAAGAAUGAUCCAUGGCUAACAGUAAAUGAAGGUGGCUGAGAAAAGAGAUAUUUCCAGUCGUUUUGAUUUUGAUUUCUCAGUUCCAGAGAGGAUAGAUGUUUCAGUAAAAU